GGGGGAUAACAUUUGGAAACAGAUGCUAAUACCGCAUAACAAUUUGAAUCGCAUGAUUCAAAUUUAAAAGAUGGCUUCGGCUAUCACUUUGGGAUGGACCUGCGGCGCAUUAGCUUGUUGGUAGGGUAACGGCCUACCAAGGCUGUGAUGCGUAGCCGAGUUGAGAGACUGAUCGGCCACAAUGGAACUGAGACACGGUCCAUACUCCUACGGGAGGCAGCAGUAGGGAAUCUUCCACAAUGGGCGCAAGCCUGAUGGAGCAACACCGCGUGAGUGAAGAAGGGUUUCGGCUCGUAAAGCUCUGUUGUUAGAGAAGAACGUGCGUGAGAGUAACUGUUCACGCAGUGACGGUAUCUAACCAGAAAGUCACGGCUAACUACGUGCCAGCAGCCGCGGUAAUACGUAGGUGGCAAGCGUUAUCCGGAUUUAUUGGGCGUAAAGCGAGCGCAGGCGGUUUGAUAAGUCUGAUGUGAAAGCCUUUGGCUUAACCAAAGAAGUGCAUCGGAAACUGUCAGACUUGAGUGCAGAAGAGGACAGUGGAACUCCAUGUGUAGCGGUGGAAUGCGUAGAUAUAUGGAAGAACACCAGUGGCGAAGGCGGCUGUCUGGUCUGCAACUGACGCUGAGGCUCGAAAGCAUGGGUAGCGAACAGGAUUAGAUACCCUGGUAGUCCAUGCCGUAAACGAUGAGUGCUAGGUGUUGGAGGGUUUCCGCCCUUCAGUGCCGCAGCUAACGCAUUAAGCACUCCGCCUGGGGAGUACGACCGCAAGGUUGAAACUCAAAGGAAUUGACGGGGGCCCGCACAAGCGGUGGAGCAUGUGGUUUAAUUCGAAGCUACGCGAAGAACCUUACCAGGUCUUGACAUCUUGCGCCAACCCUAGAGA
rnacentral:rRNA from 1 species